UAACACGUGGGUAAUCUGCCCUGCACUUUCGGGAUAAGCCUGGGAAACCGGGUCUAAUACCGGAUAUUCAGUUCCUGCCGCAUGGUGGGGGUUGGAAAGUUUUUCGGUGCAGGAUGAGCCCGCGGCCUAUCAGCUUGUUGGUGGGGUAAUGGCCUACCAAGGCGACGACGGGUAGCCGGCCUGAGAGGGUGAUCGGCCACACUGGGACUGAGACACGGCCCAGACUCCUACGGGAGGCAGCAGUGGGGAAUAUUGCACAAUGGGCGAAAGCCUGAUGCAGCGACGCCGCGUGGGGGAUGACGGUCUUCGGAUUGUAAACCCCUUUCAGUAGGGACGAAGCGCAAGUGACGGUACCUGCAGAAGAAGCACCGGCCAACUACGUGCCAGCAGCCGCGGUAAUACGUAGGGUGCGAGCGUUGUCCGGAAUUACUGGGCGUAAAGAGCUCGUAGGCGGUUUGUCGCGUCGUCCGUGAAAACUCGGAGCUUAACUCCGAGCUUGCGGGCGAUACGGGCAGACUUGAGUACUACAGGGGAGACUGGAAUUCCUGGUGUAGCGGUGAAAUGCGCAGAUAUCAGGAGGAACACCGGUGGCGAAGGCGGGUCUCUGGGUAGUAACUGACGCUGAGGAGCGAAAGCAUGGGUAGCGAACAGGAUUAGAUACCCUGGUAGUCCAUGCCGUAACCGGUGGGCACUAGGUGUGGGGUCCUUCCACGGAUUCCGUGCCGUAGCUA
rnacentral:rRNA from 1 species